UACGAAGGGGGCUAGCGUUGCUCGGAAUCACUGGGCGUAAAGCGCACGUAGGCGGAUUGCUAAGUCAGGGGUGAAAUCCUGGAGCUCAACUCCAGAACUGCCUUUGAUACUGGCGAUCUUGAGUCCGGGAGAGGUGAGUGGAACUGCGAGUGUAGAGGUGAAAUUCGUAGAUAUUCGCAAGAACACCAGUGGCGAAGGCGGCUUACUGGUCCGGUACUGACGCUGAGGAGCGAAAGCGUGGGUAGCAAACAGG
rnacentral:rRNA from 1 species